CAAGGCCAGAGCUUCCCGGCUUGCCUGCUGCAGUUUAGCAAGGCUGGGUUACAGGUAUGCAAAUACAUUACUGGUGGGUUAAGAUAGGGAUCCUCUUGGCCCUGGGGGCUGCUGGCCAGGGCCUGAGGCAGUUAGAGCAGCCACCUGCAAAAGGUCGGGCAGCUGUGCCUUGCCUUUGUUUUUGUUUUUUGUUUUUUUUAAAUGUUGUUACCUAAAGGGAAAUGCCCCACUUUUUAUCAUCUGAGCUGAUAAGAGUUCUUCUGGAGAGAUGACUGAAGAUAGCUCCCUCUGUUUGCCUAGGGGCCAGAAAUUCUAGUCAGCCAUGAGGCUCAUUGCCUACCCUUGGUGCAGAGGCCAGCUCCAGUCCAGGAGUUUCAUCCUUAGCCUCAAGACCCUCUCCCCCAACCCUUCAUUACUCCUUGCUCUGGACCACAGGGUCUUGCUCUGUUCAAGCUAGAGUGUGGUGGUGUGAUCAUAGCUUACUGCAGCCUCAAACUCCUAGACUGAAACCAUCCUCUCACCUCAGGUUUCCAAGUAGGUGGGAACACAGAAGGCCCCCAGGUCCUGCUUCUGCCUUGUCCAUUGUAACUGAGAUCAAAGCCUUCAAGCAGAUAACUGGAGCUCACCCUGCCUGCUGGAUACCUGCUUGCUGUUUCCCAAUACCUCAUAGUUAGACGACGCAUCUUACUAAAGUGAAACAUUCUGUAUCCCUUCAUGAGAACACUCUAGAAAAAUCUAACAAGAGAAGUUUUCCUCUUACUUUUAAAAAACAAGCCUGUCAUUUCUUAAUUUUCUCCCUGGUCCAUUUUCCACCGAUUGUCUUGCUCGGAGUAGCUCUAAGCACUCAAAUAAAGCUCACCAGUAGGGGUAGAUUUGUGAAAUU
rnacentral:lncRNA from 13 species